rnacentral:rRNA from 1 species
GGAAUCUUGGACAAUGGGGGCAACCCUGAUCCAGCCAUGCCGCGUGAGCGAUGAAGGCCUUAGGGUUGUAAAGCUCUUUCAGCGGGGAAGAUAAUGACGGUACCCGCAGAAGAAGCCCCGGCUAACUCCGUGCCAGCAGCCGCGGUAAUACGUAGGGGGCUCGCGUUGUUCGGAAUUACUGGGCGGAAAGCGCACGUAGGCGGGCUGGGAAGUCGGGGGUGAAAGCCCGGGGCUCAACCCCGGAACUGCCUCCGAAACUCCCGGCCGGGAGUACGGGAGAGGCGAGUGGAAUUCCGAGUGUAGAGGUGAAAUUCGUAGAUAUUCGGAGGAACACCAGUGGCGAAGGCGGCUCGCUGGCCCGAUACUGACGCUGAGGUGCGAAAGCGUGGGGAGCAAA